rnacentral:rRNA from 1 species
AUGAGGGCCGCUUGGGAUCUGGCGCAGAAGGUGACCAUCCGACCACUCGAGGACAAUUUAUACACUCUGCAGUUUUCUUGCCUCGGUGAUUGGGAGCGCGUGAUGGAGGAUGGACCGUGGGCUUUCCGCGGAGAUGCAGUGAUUCUGGCGGAGUACGACGGGUUCACCAAACCGUCAACGAUCAAACUGGACAAGCUAGCUAUAUGGGCACAGAUUCAUGAUUUCCCGGACGGCUAUGUGUCGCAGAUUCCAGCUUUGGCAGCAAAGAUAGGUGAUCUGGUGUACGCGGAGCCAGCAUCUCAUGAUUUUGAAGGUAACUUUUUCAGGGUCCGAGUCAACAUAGAUGUCAACAAACCACUGAAGAAUGCGGUCUCGCUCAAGAUUGAUGAUAAAAGGCUGCUGUUCCGUGUCAAAUAUGAACGCCUCCCAGAUUGGUGUGCGGUAUGCGGCAGGCUUGGGCAUCUGUACAAAGAACACGGCGACGGAGUUCACCCCCCAUCGGCGCUGGUGUUCAAGAACUUGAAGGCCUCUUGGUUCCGCGGAGCGGGUCCUGGACCCGGUGGGGCCAAGAACAAAAGAAACACAGCAGGGAGUCGACGGUCGGUUGCUGAGGAAAGACCGGCCUUUCCCAAGCUUCGGUCCUGUCUACAGGCGUGCAUACUUCUGCACCCUCGGCUCACCCAGGCGACGGGAUUCUGCUGCUGCCGCCGCCACAGACACCCAAUCUUCCUGGACGAUCUUCAAGCUUUGCUCUAUUGGCGAGAUGUAUUUUUGUAUCCUGUUCCAUCUGUAUAUGUUGUGCAGUGUACCGUGUGCGUGCAAGCUGCCAAGCCAAACAAAAGGGAAACAAGCAACAAAGCGACCACGAACCCCCGCCGUGCAUCGCUCAAACGCAACCAUAACAUACCCCAGAGACACAGCGAUCGGCAGAGCAAGCAAGCACACCGUCGCAUCGACGCGGGCAGCAACGCCGGCAGGCCAGCCGAAGCGCGCGACCAGCUGGGCGCGUUCGUGGCCAUGGACCGCCUGAGAAGUCAUGACGAGAAGGCACCGCCGGCGGGGACGAAGCGCGAGCUCCCGGACCUGGAGUCGCGCACUGCCCCUGCCCUCAGGUCGCUGCUCAGCUCGGUAUAUGGCAGACGCCAGGAGUUCGCUGAGGGGUCUCAGGCGGCAAUCGCGUUGGCGGAACAGUUGAUCCGGGAGAUCGACGAGGCCCUGGCAAAGCAGGGCGGCGACACGGAGCAAGAUUGCAGCACAAAACAUUGA